AACGAACGCUGGCGGCGUGCUUAACACAUGCAAGUCGAACGCGAAAGGGGCUUCGGUCCUGAGUAGAGUGGCGCACGGGUGAGUAACGCGUAGAUAACCUGUCCUGGUGUCUGGAAUAACGUCUCGAAAGGGGCACUAAUACCGGAUAUUCUUGCUUUCUUCAAGGUAUGCAAGGAAAGGUGGCCGCUGGAACAAGCUACUGCACGAGGAGGGGUCUGCGUACCAUUAGCUAGUAGGUGGGGUAAUGGCCUACCUAGGCGACGAUGGUUAGCGGGUCUGAGAGGAUGAUCCGCCACACUGGCACUGGAAUACGGGCCAGACUCCAACGGGAGGCAGCAGUGAGGAAUAUUGCGCAAUGGGGGCAACCCUGACGCAGCGACGCCGCGUGAGUGAGGAAGGCCUUCGGGUCGUAAAGCUCUGUCAAGAGGGAAGAAGUGCAUGGUGGUUAAUAUCUGUCAUGUUUGACGGUACCUCUAAAGGAAGCACCGGCUAACUCCGUGCCAGCCGCCGCGGUAAGAC
rnacentral:rRNA from 1 species